UUGAUAGCAGUGGAAUCUCAAAUGCUAUAUUUUUCCACUGAUAAGAUACAACCCAGGCAGAGAUAGUGUGAUUUUUUAUCUAUCCCCUCACUAGUGUGCUAUCCCAAAUGUGGUUCCAAAUGAAGCAAAGUUUGCAUUUCAAAUUGAAAAUGGCCUGUG
rnacentral:sRNA from 1 species